CUUUGGCAAUAGAAAAGUCAAGACGAAAUGUUGAAGUGGGGCCAAUUUGUUAUAUUACUUUUUUUAGUGCCACCUGGACUAUCUAUCGUGAAUAAAUUUUCCACGUAUUUGGCCUCGAAGGUUUUUGAACAAAUCGAUAAGGUUUUCUUGGACCUGGAAACUAAUUAUAGGUUUACUCUCAAACAUGAAUAUAUUUGUAACAAAAGCUUGCAUGAAACAAAAGAGACUAGCUUAAACUGGCAGAAGGCACAAGAAACAUUAAGGAUAAUGAAAAAUAUUUUUAGCACUGAUUGCAAGAUCACACUCAAUCCCAAGCCAAUGGCCAGAAGUUCCCUUUUUGAUAGAAAACCUGGUGAUUGGCCUUUUCUAAACCCUAUUGGUGGACCACCUCUUUUUCUUCCCAACAAAGUUCCAGGAUUCCUUCCAUUUCCGCCAGCUUGGCAUCCGCCUGAAACUUUUCCUUCCCCAAACCAAGUGAUACCACCAUUUCCAGGGCAGCUCGCACCUCCAGUUUGGAAUCAACCUCAGACUUUAUUUCCCUCAAACCGGGGUUUAUUAUUGCCUGUGCCACCAGGACAAGAAAUACCACCGAAUCCACUUCCAGGACAUCCCGCACCUCCUGUUUGGAAUCAACCUCAAACUCUUUUUCCCCCAAACCAAGGUUUAUUAUUGCCUGGACCGCCAGGACCACAGACACCUCCAAAUCCACUUCCAGGAGGACCUGCACCUCCAGUUUGGCCUCCACCUCAACCACUUUUUCCCUCAAACCAAGUUUCAUUAUUGCCGGCACCGCCUGGACCGUGGAUACCCACAAACCCAACUCCAGGAGGACCUGCACCUCCAGUUUGGCCUCCACCUCAAACUCAACUUCCCCCAAACCAAGUUUCAUUAUUGGUGGCACCGCCUGGACCAUGGAUACCCGCAAAUCCACUUCCUGCACCACCAAGAUCAGUGGUACCCCCAACGCCAUUUCCAGGACAGCCCGCACCUCCAGCUUGGCAUCCACCUCAAACUUUUCCUCCCCUUAAACAGGGUUUAUUAAUGCCUGGACCAGUGAUACCCCCAAAUCCGAUUCCAAGACAACCCGCACCUCCAGUUUGGCGUCCACCUAAAACUAUUCUUCCCCCAAAACCACUUAUACUAUUGCCUGCACCGCCAGUGCCAGUUAUACGUCCAGUUGGGCAUCAACCCGAAAGUCAUUUUCCCCGAAACCAUAGUUCAGGAUUACCUGCACCACCUGGAGCUUCUUUACCUUUGAUAUUUCCAGGCCCAAUUACAGCAUUGCUCCCAUCUAAAUCAGGAUCUUUACGUAUAGAUCUCUCUAGGCUGAAGAAUCUUAAUAUACUCCAAGUAUAUCCUGGUCAACCAGCACCUCCAUUUUGGCACCCACCUGGAACUCUUCCUUCCCCAAACCCAGGUCCAGGAUUGCCUGCACCACCGGGAUCAGUUAUCCCCCCAAAUCCAGCAACACCCGCACCGGCAGGUGGAACUGGAACUGGAGCUGUUUCUCCACCUUCAACUCCAGGAUUACUUGCACCACCUAGUACUCUACCUCCUCCUGACCUAGGUUCAGGAUUGCCUUCACCACCGGGAUCGGUUAUUCCCCCAAGUCCACUCCCAGAAACACCCGAACCGGAUGGUGGAACUGGAACUCCUGCAAUUCCAGGAUUCCCUGCACCACCUGAAACACUUCCUUCCCUAAACCCAGAUUUAGGAUUUCCUGCUCCUCCGGGAUUAGUUAUUCCCCCAAAUCCUCUUCCAGAAACACCCGCACCGGCUGGUGGAACUGGAACUCCUGUUUCCCCACCUUUAACUCCAGGAUUACCAGCAUCACCUGAAUUCGUUACUCCCCCAAAUCCCUUUGCAGAAACACCCCCACCACCAUUUCUCCUACCGCCAGGACCUUCUCUAGGAUCAGGAUUGUGGCCACCUGAAAUAAAUAAUUCUACAUUACCAGCGUCACGUAACAACUGCAUUGAACGUUCCUCGGUAUUUGAAGAAAUGGACGACGUACUUUUGCGAUUAGAAGCUAACCAAAAAUCUUUUAGUCUUUAUCAGCAGUCAUGCAAUGAAAGCUUGCUUAAAUCAGAAAAUGAAGGAAUUGGCUCUCAUUUUCAGAAGAAUGCCUCUGUUCUACUGCAGAUUGCACGAAAGUACAUCAAGUUAUUAAAGCAAAUUUUUGAAGCUGCCAAUAAAAUACCAGGAUCGGCAGGACCACAGCCAGUUGGAAAUCCUCCGAUGGGAAAUCAAGAGCGGAAUCCCACUGGGAACCCUCCAAAAGGACGAGAAGGAUGGCAUCCCCUUGGUGUGACGAAUCUUAAUAUAAAUAAUAUAAAUCUUAACAAGAACCAAUAUAAAAAGUCCGAGUAAAAAUUAAAGAAUAAAAUAAAGUCAGUUAACACUCAGAAAAAAAGCGGUACAGAAUUUCGUAAAGAUCACAUAUUAAAAUGCAUGGUCAAUAGUAAAACGUCAAUUUAUUUUACCAGUUUCGAAAUGACAUCAAAAAAUUAAUUUGAAAGUUAUAUAUGGAAAAUCCAUUUUGUUUCCGCAUUAAACCAGAGAAUGUGAAUUUUAUAAGCAAAACAUAUUAAGCCAGAAUAUUUCGGCUCACUUAGCCAAGCGAAUAUACAAAACGAACAGCACGAAAUGUGCAAAUGGCACUAUAUUGUACUUUUAUUUUAUUUAUUGCCACGUGUUCGAGGCCUUAAAAUCAAUGAUUCCUUGGACAAAAAGUUGUUUACGAACUUCUUUAACCAAAUCGACUUUCUGUUACUAGAACUAGAAGCACACCAAAAAUCCCUCUUUAUUCAUCAGCAGUCAUGCACCAAUGGUUCGAUUCAAGUGGAAGGUGACCUUGCUUCUGCCACAACUGCAAAUCGAAACUCAAACUCUGAGGGUAAUGCUCUACUGCAGAGCACAAAAAAGCAGUUCAAGCUGUUGAAGCAACUGCUGAAAACCGAUUGUCCGAGCAAAAUUUAUCAAUAUUUUCAAAGGAACCGCUCAUACAAUCCACAUGAUCCUUUUGUCUUUAUACCCGAUAGCGCUGUGGAUCCGGAAGAACCUAGUCCAACUUCCCGACCCCGACCCCGACCUGCUCCUUCUCGUCCUCCUCGACGUCGCCCACGCCCCCGUCCGCGCCCUCGUCCUCGCCCUCGUCCUCGUCCUCGUCCUCGCCCCCGUCCAACUCCUUCACCUCCGAAAACCACCACAAAGAGUACUUGUGACUCUCAUAGAAAACACCCAGUAAUUCCAGAGAUUGAACUGCCGCCAGGAUACGAACUCGUUGAAAUAGAAGUACAUUCUCUAUGUGACCAUGGAAAGCAGCCACAUAACAAACAUUAAAAUAAGAACUUUACUUGAAAUUGUCGCCCUAAAUAAAUUGACUCAAAAAUAAGAA